rnacentral:lncRNA from 1 species
GUUGCGAUUGUGACUAUUCGACCUAUCCAGAUAUCGGGUACCAUUGCUAGAUGGUCACUUCGAUUAGUAUAGAAAUUGAUUCCUGUGCUACCAGCUUAGGUUUGAACUUAUGGGGUCACACACAUUAGAUGUUCCUAUCUGAUCUGAUGGCUGAUGAAGAGUCUUAAUAUUCAUAGACUAUGAGUCCUACGUGUCUAAAACUCUGUGAUCAAGAAUCAGGAUUCUCUGAUCACAAGUCCCACACAUUUUGGGUACCAGGGUCAAGAGACCCACUGGUUUGGGACUCUUCGAUCAAGGUUUCAUAUUGA